rnacentral:rRNA from 1 species
CGAGACGGGUGCCCAUGUGGCACGAAGCAAUCGGAAGUGGUUCCAAGAAAAGCCUCUAAGCUUCAGUCAUACGAGACCGUACCGCAAACCGACACAGGUGGGCGAGAUGAGUAUUCUAAGGCGCUUGAGAGAACUCGGGAGAAGGAACUCGGCAAAUUGGUACCGUAACUUCGGGAUAAGGUACGCCCCGGUAGCUUGAUUGGUUUACUCCAUGAGGGUGAAAGGGUUGCAAUAAACUGGUGGCUGCGACUGUUUAAUAAAAACACAGCACUCUGCAAACACGAAAGUGGACGUAUAGGGUGUGACGCCUGCCCGGUGCUGGAAGAUUAAAUGAUGGGGUGCAAGCUCUUGAUUGAAGUCCCAGUAAACGGCGGCCGUAACAAUAACGGUCCUAAGGUAGCGAAAUUCCUUGUCGGGUAAGUUCCGACCUGCACGAAUGGCGUAACGAUGGCCACACUGUCUCCUCCCGAGACUCAGCGAAGUUGAAAUGUUUGUGAUGAUGCAAUCUCCCCGCGGAAAGACGGAAAGACCCCAUGAACCUUUACUGUAGCUUUACAUUGGACUUUGAACAGAUCUGUGUAGGAUAGGUGGGAGGCUUUGAAGUGAGGACGCUAGUUCUCAUGGAGCCAACGUUGAAAUACCACCCUGGUGUGUUUGAGGUUCUAACCUAGGUCCAUUAUCUGGAUCGGGGACAGUGCAUGGUAGGCAGUUUGACUGGGGCGGUCUCCUCCCAAAGCGUAACGGAGGAGUUCGAAGGUACGCUAGUUACGGUCGGACAUCGUGACGAUAGUGCAAUGGCAUAAGCGUGCUUAACUGCGAGACUGACAAGUCGAGCAGAUGCGAAAGCAGGACAUAGUGAUCCGGUGGUUCUGUAUGGAAGGGCCAUCGCUCAACGGAUAAAAGGUACUCUGGGGAUAACAGGCUGAUUCCUCCCAAGAGUUCAUAUCGACGGGGGAGUUUGGCACCUCGAUGUCGGCUCAUCACAUCCUGGGGCUGUAGCCGGUCCCAAGGGUAUGGCUGUUCGCCAUU